GGAAAGGCGCGCGAUACAGGGUGACAGCCCCGUACACAAAAAUGCACAUGCUGUGAGCUCGAUGAGUAGGGCGGGACACGUGGUAUCCUGUCUGAAUAUGGGGGGACCAUCCUCCAAGGCUAAAUACUCCUGACUGACCGAUAGUGAACCAGUACCGUGAGGGAAAGGCGAAAAGAACCCCGGCGAGGGGAGUGAAAAAGAACCUGAAACCGUGUACGUACAAGCAGUGGGAGCACGCUUAGGCGUGUGACUGCGUACCUUUUGUAUAAUGGGUCAGCGACUUAUAUUCUGUAGCAAGGUUAACCGAAUAGGGGAGCCGAAGGGAAACCGAGUCUUAACUGGGCGUUAAGUUGCAGGGUAUAGACCCGAAACCCGGUGAUCUAGCCAUGGGCAGGUUGAAGGUUGGGUAACACUAACUGGAGGACCGAACCGACUAAUGUUGAAAAAUUAGCGGAUGACUUGUGGCUGGGGGUGAAAGGCCAAUCAAACCGGGAGAUAGCUGGUUCUCCCCGAAAGCUAUUUAGGUAGCGCCUCGUGAAUUCAUCUCCGGGGGUAGAGCACUGUUUCGGCAAGGGGGUCAUCCCGACUUACCAACCCGAUGCAAACUGCGAAUACCGGAGAAUGUUAUCACGGGAGACACACGGCGGGUGCUAACGUCCGUCGUGAAGAGGGAAACAACCCAGACCGCCAGCUAAGGUCCCAAAGUCAUAGUUAAGUGGGAAACGAUGUGGGAAGGCCCAGACAGCCAGGAUGUUGGCUUAGAAGCAGCCAUCAUUUAAAGAAAGCGUAAUAGCUCACUGGUCGAGUCGGCCUGCGCGGAAGAUGUAACGGGGCUAAACCAUGCACCGAAGCUGCGGCAGCGACGCUGAUGCGUUGUUGGGUAGGGGAGCGUUCUGUAAGCCUGCGAAGGUGUGCUGUGAGGCAUGCUGGAGGUAUCAGAAGUGCGAAUGCUGACAUAAGUAACGAUAAAGCGGGUGAAAAGCCCGCUCGCCGGAAGACCAAGGGUUCCUGUCCAACGUUAAUCGGGGCAGGGUGAGUCGACCCCUAAGGCGAGGCCGAAAGGCGUAGUCGAUGGGAAACAGGUUAAUAUUCCUGUACUUGGUGUUACUGCGAAGGGGGGACGGAGAAGGCUAUGUUGGCCGGGCGACGGUUGUCCCGGUUUAAGCGUGUAGGCUGGUUUUCCAGGCAAAUCCGGAAAAUCAAGGCUGAGGCGUGAUGACGAGGCACUACGGUGCUGAAGCAACAAAUGCCCUGCUUCCAGGAAAAGCCUCUAAGCAUCAGGUAACAUCAAAUCGUACCCCAAACCGACACAGGUGGUCAGGUAGAGAAUACCAAGGCGCUUGAGAGAACUCGGGUGAAGGAACUAGGCAAAAUGGUGCCGUAACUUCGGGAGAA
rnacentral:rRNA from 1 species